AUAACUUUUUAUGAAAAAUACAUAUUGCAAAGGAAAAAGUAAAAUUUUCUCUAUUUUUAGAUGGCAUUAUGGUCGACUUAGAAAAUCCAAAAGAAUUGUACAAAAAAAAAAGCAACUAAAACAAGCGAGCUUUGCAAGGUUGCAGGAUACAAGUUAAGGAAACUCACUUGGAACUAUUUACAGCCUUUAAUAAUUGAGUAAGGUUUACUCCUAUGAACAAAAAUUUGGAGCAUGUUUGUUUCUCUCUGCCUGGUUCCUCUAGGAUUUGGAAACUAUCUGUGAGUAUUCUUACGGUAAUAUGGUUGUUUGCAUCAUAUGUUACCCUGUACAGGUAAAGAAUGUCACUUUCUAACAGGUCCGGGAGCUCCAAGUUUAUCUUGGGACCUUAAGGUAAACUCACAGUUGUUUGAGGAUACAAACCCAUGGUUGGGCUCAGCAUUAAACGGUCUUAUCUGAGAUUCCUUGUGGAACAAACUUGCAUCAAAGCCAAUCCAAGAGGCCUAUGUAGAAAUAAUUAUUCUUGCUGCACUUUAUGCAAUUAAUCAGGCCAAGUAUAAGACUAAAGUCUAUUUUGCAAACCAUUCAGUCCUAUGAUGAUUUUUUAACAAAAAUGAGGACUGGAGAGAGAGAAAUCAUGUUUCAAAACUUAUUAUACAUUUGUCAUUAAAUUCUAAACUCAUUGGUUGUUUUUAAGUUUUCACCUACAUUUUAGACUAACCCUGCUUGCUCUUGUGAACCAACCAGCAAUCUCCAGCUGCAGCUCAGAAAGGACAAAAGGGAUGGGUAAUGUAGAAAUCUGGAUCAAUAUUCUAGCUCUGGGCAAUUAUCCUGCAAGUCCUGCUAGGUGAUUUGAAUACAUAGGAUGCCCAUCACUUGGAGGUUUCCUUUUUGGAAAAGUAAGACCAAGAAAGCUAAUCAAAGCCAAGGACCAUGCACCCAAACCCUCGCAAGCAUAACUAUAGCCACCAGUUAUCUGGUUGUGUCACAAGACAUCUUUUUCUCCCCCUUGUUGGAGGAGGACUCAAUUCCACAGUUUCACCUUAGCAUUUGGCUUAUGAUAAGGAGUCCAUGCACCUCCCCCACCCCCCACCGAGACACAUUUUUGUCCCAAACUCAAUUUCAAGCUUUGGGUCAAAGUCCUAAGAAGGAAAACUGGAUCUGAGGGAUCCAGAGACAAAUGACAACAGAGGUUAAAAGGCACGGUGCAGGUGAGCAUGGCUCAUUCCUGCCAAUUAAGCCAACCCAAGCUUCUUGUUUCAUGGAUAAACCCACGGCAUAAAUAUCCAUGGCAUAAAUGAGGUCUAGGGAACUCCAAGGCUACUGACAGUAGGAGAUAGAGGCAUAGAUGAGAGCGGAUAAUUCCUAUUCUCUAGGCCCUCCCUGCUUCAUGGGUGCAAGCCACUUUGGCACUCAUGGCGGCACCUGCCAAGGUCACCGGGACUCGGGGAUGCAAGGAUGGAAGAGGGAAAGAGAACACUCUUUCCUCUCUCCCUCAUGUACCGUGGGUAUCUGCUAGGAAGAGAAGGGAACCAGGGACACCUGCUCCCCUCUUUCCAGAUGGGUAGCCAUUCAUCUGCAGUCUGUGCCCCUUUCAAAUGCACCCUGAACCCCUGGGACUCCUUCAGACGGUGUCUUCUUUUUUCCUUUCUUCUCCUCUGUCCUCUCUUCACUGAUAGGUAAUUGUGUCUCCGUACUAUGGGACGAUUCCCUCAGAUGCAUCCUCCAAACUGGAAAGAGUUAAUUUCCCAAACAUUAAACUGGUUGGCUUAGGAUUAGGCUCAGGGGAAGGGAACUCAGAAGCCCAACGUGCCAGCAAAAGGGUCCAGUUUCUGCCAGCUGGGCUUUUGGCCUCCCUCUCCCUGUGCAAACUGGUAAAAGGCCUCAGAAUUUUUGAGCUGUCCUUACCCCUCCCCUUGUCUCCCUGUGUUUCCUUUUGGGUUUUUGUUUUUGUUGUUGUUGUUUUAUUUUGAGACGGAGUUUCGCUUUUGUUGCCCAGGCUGGAGUGCAGUGGCAUGGUCUUGGCUCACUGCAACCUCUGCCUCCCGGGUUCAAGUGAUUCUCCUGCCUCAGCCUCCCUAGUAGCUGGGAUUACAGGCGUGCACCACCAUGCCAGGCUAAUUUUUGCAUUUUUAGUAGAGACGGGGUUUCGCCAUGUUGGUCAGGCUGGUCUCAAACUCCUGACCUCAGGUGAUCCAUCGCCUCAGCCUCCCAAAGUGCUGGAUUACAGGCGUGAGCCACUGCGCCUGGCCUGUUUUGUUUUGCUACAUGUUUUCUAAUGACCCCGUUUGUCUGUUCUUGCCUUCAGGCCAUCAAACUCUGAACAGUCAUGCAACCGGAGCUUCUGAUGAUGGCCUCUUCUGCUGGGGACCCUUAGACAGGCAUCUGAGGGACCUCUGACUGCCAUUUCCCAAAAACAGUGCCCCCUGUCAGCAGGAAGCAUGCUGGAAGGGGAGCUAACUUUAUCUCCCAUUGUGCCUUCUGAUGAGCCCCUCUGAAACUGAGUGACUGCAGAAGAAUCCUCCAGCCGGGGCAUUCCAGUUUAAUCUGAGCACAUCGAGUGUUUGGACAAUGCAAGUGAUCACAAAAUGCUCCCUAGAGUGUCUGGGGGACUCUGAGAGUGCCUUAGGUCAUUGUACUGCCUUGGGCUUUAGGUCCUGGUCUUAGCAGCAACUGAAAUCAUCCUCAGGCACAGAUGCCAUUUCUGGGGCCUUGGAGGGGCCAUCGCAGUAGAGCUUCAAGUCUCACCAGAGGUUGUGCUUUGAAGAUGAUUCACUCUUUUGGACAACAGCAGCAUCGAGGCCAUUAAGACUGCAGCCUCUCCUGGGGUAAGUGGACCCUAAGGGUGCUGGGCUGGCCUGAGGAAAUGGCAGGAGGCAGGGCGGGGCCCUUCCCUUGGGUGUGAGUGACAGGAAUGACACCUGGACACUCGUUGUCAGAGCACUUGCUCCCCCAUGGCACCCAGUACUGAAUGCAACGCUGCAGAUGCGGUUUCAUUCCGGACCCCAGCCUGCAGCUCCUCGUGCAUCUGAAACCAGAUGGCCUGUGUAGUCAGCCCCAGCAUGCCGUGAAGAACACUGAGCUGCCUGUUGAGUAACUCCCCAGGGAUGAAGGAAAGCACGGAGCUUUCUUCAUGUCAAGCACAACUCUUUCAUUGAAUGCUAUUAGAUUUCAUCGAGUUAGAUUGCCUCUGCCCGUCAGGAGAUUUUGGGAUUCUGAUUUGUUCGUCUAAUAUACUUAUUUCUCCUUAUCCACAAAUUUGGUCAGUUCUGUAGGUCUUCAUCCCAUUAUGAGUAAAGGCAUUGGCUGGGUUGUGGAUGCAAUUCUCUCCCAGGUGCAACCUGUCCUUCGUUGUAACUGAACAGGUAGUUAUACAUUCUCCUAACCACUCUUACCCAGACUCUCAUUUAUUCAGAAGUCUUUGUCAAAUAUGUAUGUUGCCCA
rnacentral:lncRNA from 10 species